UACGAAGGGGGCUAGCGUUGUUCGGAAUUACUGGGCGUAAAGCGUGCGCAGGCGGCUUCUCAAGUCAGGGGUGAAAGCCCAGAGCUCAACUCUGGAAUUGCCUUUGAGACUGAGUGGCUUGAGUACGAGAGAGGUGAGUGGAAUUCCCAGUGUAGAGGUGAAAUUCGUAGAUAUCGGGAGGAACACCUGUGGCGAAAGCGGCUCACUGGACCACAACUGACGCUGAUGCACGAAAGCUAGGGGAGCAAACAGG
rnacentral:rRNA from 1 species